UGGCUCAGAUGGUAAAGCGUCUGCCUGCAAUGCAGAAGACCCAGGUUCAAUUCCUGG
rnacentral:tRNA from 1 species